rnacentral:rRNA from 1 species
UCAGCAGCCCGCGGUAAUUCCAGCUCUGUAAGCGUAUACCAAAGUUGUUGCAGUUAAAACGCUCGUAGUCGGAUUUUGGCGUCUGACUUGGGUCGUCCUCGCGGAUGCUCUCAGGUUGGGCGCCUUUGUGGAUGGGAGUCUGGUGGUGCUUAAUUGGAUCGCCAGUCUGCCGCCACCGUUUACUGUGAAAAAAUUAGAGUGUUCAAAGCAGGCGAUUGCCCUGAAUACAUUAGCAUGGAAUAAUAGAAUAGGACCCGGUCCUAUUUUGUUGGUUUGUUUGAAUCGGGUAAUGAUUAAGAGGGACGGUUGGGGGCAUUCGUAUUCCGACGUCAGAGGUGAAAUUCUUGGAUUGUCGGAAGACGAACAGCUGCGAAAGCGUCUGCCAAGGACGUUUUCAUUGAUCAAGAACGAAAGUAAGGGGAUCGAAGACGAUCAGAUACCGUCGUAGUCUUUACUAUAAACGAUGAGGACUGGAGAUCGGAUAAGACUGAUAUAUGGCUUAUCCGGCAUCCUUCGAGAAAUCAAAGUGUUUGCUUUCUGGGGGGAGUAUGGUCGCAAGGCUGAAACUUAAAGGAAUUGACGGAAGGGCAUCACCGGGUGUGGAGCCUGCGGCUUAAUUUGACUCAACACGGGA